CGGGUGAGUAACGCGUGGGUAACCUGCCUUGUACUGGGGGACGAACAGUUGGAAACGACUGCUAGUACCGCAUAAGCGCACAGCUUCGCAUGAAGCAGCGUGAAAAACUCCGGUGGUACAAGAUGGACCCGCGUCUGAUUAGCUGGUUGGUGAGGUAACGGCCCACCAAGGCGACGAUCAGUAGCCGGCCUGAGAGGGUGAACGGCCACAUUGGGACUGAGACACGGCCCAA
rnacentral:rRNA from 1 species